rnacentral:tRNA from 1 species
GCGAAUGUAGUUCAGUGGUAGAACACCACCUUGCCAAGGUGGGGGUCGCGGGUUCGAAUCCCGUCAUUCGCU